AUUGAACGCUGGCGGCAGGCUUAACACAUGCAAGUCGAGCGGGGUGAUGGUGCUUGCACUAUCACUUAGCGGCGGACGGGUGAGUAAUGCUUAGGAAUCUGCCUAUUAGUGGGGGACAACAUCUCGAAAGGGAUGCUAAUACCGCAUACGUCCUACGGGAGAAAGCAGGGGAUCACUUGUGACCUUGCGCUAAUAGAUGAGCCUAAGUCGGAUUAGCUAGUUGGUGGGGUAAAGGCCUACCAAGGCGAUGAUCUGUAGCGGGUCUGAGAGGAUGAUCCGCCACACUGGGAAUGAGACACGGCCCAGACUCCUACGGGAGGGAGCAGUGGGGAAUAUUGGACAAUGGGGGGAACCCUGAUCUAGCCAUGCCGCGUGUGUGAAGAAGGCCUUAUGGUUGUAAAGCACUUUAAGCGAGGAGGAGGCUCUUUUGGUUAAUACCCAAGAUGAGUGGACGUUACUCGCAGAAUAAGCACCGGCUAACUCUGUGCCAGCCGCCGCCGUAA
rnacentral:rRNA from 1 species